rnacentral:rRNA from 1 species
GACGAACGCUGGCGGCGUGCUUAACACAUGCAAGUCGAACGGUGAAAGCGGAGCUUGCUCCGCUGGAUCAGUGGCGAACGGGUGAGUAACACGUGGGUGAUCUGCCCUGCACUUCGGGAUAAGCCUGGGAAACUGGGUCUAAUACCGGAUAGGACUCCGGACUGCAUGGUCUGGGGUGGAAAGCUUUUGCGGUGUGGGAUGGGCCCGCGGCCUAUCAGCUUGUUGGUGGGGUGAUGGCCUACCAAGGCGACGACGGGUAGCCGGCCUGAGAGGGUGACCGGCCACACUGGGACUGAGAUACGGCCCAGACUCCUACGGGAGGCAGCAGUGGGGAAUAUUGCACAAUGGGCGCAAGCCUGAUGCAGCGACGCCGCGUGAGGGAUGACGGCCUUCGGGUUGUAAACCUCUUUCAGCAUCGACGAAGCGAAAGUGACGGUAGGUGCAGAAGAAGGACCGGCCAACUACGUGCCAGCCGCCGCCGUAAAAC